UGCCCGGUAGUGUAAUUGGUAACACAGCGGCCUUUGGAGCCGUAUUUCCUGGUUCGAGUCCAGGCCGGGCAGCCA
rnacentral:tRNA from 1 species